GGGUUGUGAGGUUAAGCGACUAAGCGUACACGGUGGAUGCCUAGGCAGUCAGAGGCGAUGAAGGGCGUGCUAAUCUGCGAAAAGCGUCGGUAAGGUGAUAUGAACCGUUACAACCGACGAUACCCGAAUGGGGAAACCCAGUGUGUUUCGACACAUUAUCAUCACAUGAAUACAUAGUGUGAUGAGGCGAACCGGGGGAACUGAAACAUCUCAGUACCCCGAGGAAAAGAAAUCAACCGAGAUUCCCCCAGUAGCGGCGAGCGAACGGGGAGGAGCCCAGAGUCUGCAUCAGCUUGUGUGUCAGUGGAAGCGUCUGGAAAGUCGCACAACAAAGGGUGACAGUCCCGUACACGAAGAUGCACAGGUUGUGAGCUCGAUGAGUAGGGCGGGACACGAGAUAUCCUGUCUGAAGAUGGGGGGACCAUCCUCCAAGGCUAAAUACUCCUGACUGACCGAUAGUGAACCAGUACCGUGAGGGAAAGGCGAAAAGAACCCCGGCGAGGGGAGUGAAAUAGAACCUGAAACCGUGUACGUACAAGCAGUGGGAGCCCCACCACCAAAACACUUCCGGGCCGAAAGGCAAUGCGGAUGUCGAGGUGACGGUUGUCAUCGCGUUUUUUGCGAUGAGCAACACACAAAACAAGCAGUGAGUGUUUUGGGGUGGGGUGACUGCGUACCUUUUGUAUAAUGGGUCAGCGACUUAUAUUCUGUAGCAAGGUUAACCGAAUAGGGGAGCCGCAGGGAAACCGAGUCUUAACUGGGCGUUAAGUUGCAGGGUAUAGACCCGAAACCCGGUGAUCUAGCCAUGGGCAGGUUGAAGGUUGGGUAACACUAACUGGAGGACCGAACCGACUAAUGUUGAAAAAUUAGCGGAUGACUUGUGGCUGGGGGUGAAAGGCCAAUCAAACCGGGAGAUAGCUGGUUCUCCCCGAAAGCUAUUUAGGUAGCGCCUCGUGAAUUCAUCUUCGGGGGUAGAGCACUGUUUCGACUAGGGGGUCAUCCCGACUUACCAACUCGAUGCAAACUGCGAAUACCGGAGAAUGUUAUCACGGGAGACACACGGCGGGUGCUAACGUCCGUCGUGAAGAGGGAAACAACCCAGACCGCCAGCUAAGGUCCCAAAGUCAUGGUUAAGUGGGAAACGAUGUGGGAAGGCCCAGACAGCCAGGAUGUUGGCUUAGAAGCAGCCAUCAUUUAAAGAAAGCGUAAUAGCUCACUGGUCGAGUCGGCCUGCGCGGAAGAUGUAACGGGGCUAAACCAUGCACCGAAGCUGCGGCAGCGACACUAUGUGUUGUUGGGUAGGGGAGCGUUCUGUAAGCCGUUGAAGGUGGCCUGUGAGGGUUGCUGGAGGUAUCAGAAGUGCGAAUGCUGACAUAAGUAACGAUAAUGCGGGUGAAAAACCCGCACGCCGGAAGACCAAGGGUUCCUGUCCAACGUUAAUCGGGGCAGGGUGAGUCGACCCCUAAGGCGAGGCCGAAAGGCGUAGUCGAUGGGAAACAGGUUAAUAUUCCUGUACUGGUUGUUACUGCGAAGGGGGGACGGAGAAAGCUAGGUUGGCCGGGCGACGGUUGUCCCGGUUUAAGCGUGCAGGUGGGUGUUUUUGGUAAAUCCGGAACACUGUUAACACUGAGGCGUGAUGACGAGUCACUACGGUGAUGAAGUAACCGAUGCUACGCUUCCAGGAAAAGCCUCUAAGCACCAGGUAACAAUCAAUCGUACCCCAAACCGACACAGGUGGUCAGGUAGAGAAUACUCAGGCGCUUGAGAGAACUCGGGUGAAGGAACUAGGCAAAAUGGUGCCGUAACUUCGGGAGAAGGCACGCUGGAUUUGGUGAAGUCCCUUGCGGACGGAGCUGAGACCAGUCGCAGAUACCAGCUGGCUGCAACUGUUUAAUAAAAACACAGCACUGUGCAAACACGAAAGUGGACGUAUACGGUGUGACGCCUGCCCGGUGCCGGAAGGUUAAUUGAUGGGGUAAGCCUUAGGGCGAAGCUCUUGAUCGAAGCCCCGGUAAACGGCGGCCGUAACUAUAACGGUCCUAAGGUAGCGAAAUUCCUUGUCGGGUAAGUUCCGACCUGCACGAAUGGCGUAAUGAUGGCCAGGCUGUCUCCACCCGAGACUCAGUGAAAUUGAACUCGCUGUGAAGAUGCAGUGUACCCGCGGCAAGACGGAAAGACCCCGUGAACCUUUACUAUAGCUUGACACUGAACCUUGAGCCUUGAUGUGUAGGAUAGGUGGGAGGCUUUGAAGUGUGGACGCCAGUCUGCAUGGAGCCAACCUUGAAAUACCACCCUUUAAUGUUUGAUGUUCUAACGUGGGCCCCUGAGCGGGGUUGCGGACAGUGUCUGGUGGGUAGUUUGACUGGGGCGGUCUCCUCCCAAAGAGUAACGGAGGAGCACGAAGGUUAGCUAAUCCUGGUCGGACAUCAGGAGGUUAGUGCAAAGGCAUAAGCUAGCUUGACUGCGAGAGUGACGGCUCGAGCAGGUGCGAAAGCAGGUCUUAGUGAUCCGGUGGUUCUGAAUGGAAGGGCCAUCGCUCAACGGAUAAAAGGUACUCCGGGGAUAACAGGCUGAUACCGCCCAAGAGUUCAUAUCGACGGCGGUGUUUGGCACCUCGAUGUCGGCUCAUCACAUCCUGGGGCUGAAGUAGGUCCCAAGGGUAUGGCUGUUCGCCAUUUAAAGUGGUACGCGAGCUGGGUUUAGAACGUCGUGAGACAGUUCGGUCCCUAUCUGCCGUGGGCGUUGGAAGAUUGAGAGGGGUUGCUCCUAGUACGAGAGGACCGGAGUGAAUGCACCACUGGUGUACGGGUUGUGAUGCCAAUUGCAUUGCCCGGUAGCUAAGUGCGGAAGAGAUAACCGCUGAAAGCAUCUAAGCGGGAAACUUGCCUCGAGAUGAGUCUUCCCUGGGACUUUGAGUCCCCAGAAGGGCCGUUGAAGACGACGACGUAGAUAGGCCGGGUGUGUAAGCGCAGCGAUGCGUUGAGCUAACCGGUACUAAUGACCCGAGAGGCUUAACCUUACAACACCGAAGGUGUUU
rnacentral:rRNA from 1 species